CAGGUUUCCAGUAACAUGGGCCACAAAACACCUUAGCAAGUGGACUCCUGAAAACUCCACAGAACUGACCAGGAAUAGCUGAGGAAAACAUCCCUGAGUUUUCUCCUUUACGAACUUCUGGAUCCCCAGAACAUUCUUUAACAACAGUCCCUUGGAAGCUCGGUCAAUUUUUGUUAAUACCAUCACAUACGGAAUCCCAAACUCCUCCAGCAUCUCUACUGCAAUAAGAUCUGUGCUCUGGAUUCCUACCACAGCAUCGACUAAUAGAAAAGUCCUCUUCAAGUUGUGCCGCUCCUGCAGAUAAGCCUCCACCAUAUCCACAAAGUCUUCUGGCGCACGGUAGCCAUACCCUGGCAUAUC
rnacentral:lncRNA from 1 species